GUUGUGAGGACAGAUAGUGUCAGUGAGAUAAGUGUGUUCGAGAUAAAGGAGAAUAUAUAGUUGGACACUGACAGAGAGGUGGAGAAAUUAAAAAGGGGGAGGAGCCAAAGAUUGAACCAAGAGCAUGUGUGGGGAAUAUAAAAGCAAAUACAUGCUGGUUUAAUGUUAUAGAGUUUAAAAAACACAGUUGCUGUUGUUGUAUAGAGGUGAAUAAUAAUGAACUCUCUUGAACUGACAAAAUAAAAAAUGUUUUCAUGGUUCAUCUGCUGAAUCCCUUUUCUAACUUAAGGUUGGAAUAGUGGGAUAUGGACAUUUAGGUGAGUUCUCCAAAGAAAACCUGUUUCAACAGCUACAACUUUCUCUGCUUUGAUUAAAUUUGCACUUUAUUAAAACCUGAAAUCCUGACUGCCAUAGUAUUUGCAUUUAUUUCAUAAUGAUAAUCAGUUGCGUGGGAUAAGUAACUGUCCCGGAUCAUGUUUUCACCAUCCUCAGGUGGGCAACCCUUCUGUCCUCUCUGACCCCUGGCGUGAGCAAGAUCUCCGCACUGUUGCAAAACGGCUCUCUCCAUCCAAAUGUCUAAACAUCCCUCUUGCUUUCGGCUUGCUGGUGUUCUGCUCUCUGAUUGGACGGAGACCAGUCUCUGAUUGGAGACAGGACCGGAGAAAUCAUCUCAGAUACUAUGAUCAGACUACCAUAUUGUGGACACUAAGGUCCAGAUGGGUUCACAGUGAAAAUGAUGCGGCAAAACCCUGCCAGACUCGGAGCUGUAACAGGAAAUGCCACAUACAAUUCCUUCUGGAGCAGCUUACUUGGUAUGAGUGUGUAAGAAAGACAGAUGUUGUUAACUGACAGAGUUCAUAGCCCAAAAACCACAAUCUGGAUUUACACAGAGAAUGCAGACAUAAACUGCCUUUGGAACUGUCCUCUUUGCUUUCUGUCCUGCUACAAUUUCACGAAAAGUCCAAAAAUGGUACAUGAAUAUGCCAUUAAAUAUCUCUCUGUAUUAUUAUAUAUUU